rnacentral:rRNA from 1 species
CCUGCCCAGUGAGUCCCCCCUUAAACGGCCGCGGUACUCUAACCGUGCAAAGGUAGCGUAAUCACUUGCCCCCUAAAUAGGGGCUAGUAUGAACGGCUAAAUGAGGGCCUAACUGUCUCCUGCGACAAGCCAAUGAAACUGCUCUCUCAGUACAAAAGCUGAGAUGCCACCACAAGACGAGAAGACCCUGUGGAGCUUUUAAGCACCACACUAACCCCACAACCCACCCAUAGUGCACACUUUAAGUUGGGGCGACUACGGAGAAAAUCAUAACCUCCACGAAACAGGACUAACCUCCACCCAAGGCCAACAAGCCGAAACUAUCAAUUACCCAUUGACCCAGCAACGCUGAGCAACGGACCAAGUUACCCCAGGGAUAACAGCGCAAUCCUCCUCAAGAGUCCAUAUCGCCAGGAGGGUUUACGACCUCGAUGUUGGAUCAGGACACCC